GCCGAAGCGUGACAGGGAGGUGGGGUAAAGUGGGUACCUCCACCCAGUUCACCAGUAUUUCCCAAACCACUCCCAAGCAUUUCCUUCACCUGGGCCUCAGCCUGACCAAAGAUGAACCUCAGCUUAUUGAGUGGUAAGGAAAAUGGGAUCAUUAGAGAAAGGGGGAAUGCCUUUGUCAGCUUGGCUUAAUAAGAUCACAACCCAUCAGCUGACGCUGAUGACUCAAGGAGGGAGGCUGAAGUCAGGGUUAGCGCUAGGCCCAAAGGCCAGCUUUUUGGGCAAAUUACUCUGAGAACUGCACAGCCACACCAUCUGCCCUCUGCAGCAUUGCCCCAUCUGGAGCAGGUAUAAUGAGGGGCAGCAUCAUCACAAAGUGGCACCUGAAGUAUUGGUGGCUUUGGAAUCAGUCUAAGUCCAAGUAUUUCCUCUGCCCGUUACAAGUUGUAUAAAGUUGGACAACUUAAAGUGUCAGAGUCCCUUGAUUUAGGCACGAUUCAAGGCCCAGCUUGCGUUCCUACAGGACAACUAUGCUCUGUCAAUGCACUUCAGUGAGCUAUUUCUGCCCUCCCCAUCUGUCCAUGAGCUCCUUGAGUGCAUCCUUAUACAUUUUUGUUGCUCCAGUCUCUGGCAUGGUCCCUGUCACACCAUAAGGCCUCUAAACAUGUAUAAUGAAUUAAUAAAUACUGAAAAAUUGUGAUGGUCACUGGAGGCUCGGUGGUGAUAAGCCUUAUUAUCUGCUCUAUAUUAUACAUCCUAUUAUGAACAUGCCGUCUUUGAGAGCACAUUAAACAAAUGCAUUAAUGCAAGGAUGAACACUUACCAAGGAUUAAGUGUACUGAAUACAAGAAUCCAGAACAGCUAAAAGAAAAAUACUUGUAAUAUAAUGAUUGUGUCCAUAGAACAACUGUGUUAUAAACAAAAGAAGUCCAAGGCAAAUUGUGUUAUUUUCCCAGUAGUUUUGUGAUCUGUUUUGUGUUCUUACGGUAAGGCCUGAUAAGAACCAUGUUCCACAAUGCAUGUGUAAGCAUGACCUAAAAAUACAUAUAGUUUAAAUUCCUGCCUAACAUUCAAAAUCUAACAUUUGAUAUAUCCAAAAACUGUAUGAACUUUUGAUCCCUAAAUAUAU
rnacentral:lncRNA from 1 species